rnacentral:lncRNA from 1 species
CUAAGUAAAUAAAUAAAUGAAUCCGAGUACUCCAUAUUUAGUAUGCCAGCAUAUUUAUUAACAGUUCAUAUAAAAGAGUCCGACUACAAUGCUAUCGAUAGCAUCAAGCACUUGAUGCUAUCAAAUUUUCUGCUGUUAGAUCAACCUCUUUGACCAUUUUCAUCCGUCAGAUCAUGCUAUUCAACCAAUCGCCCACUCAACCCUAAGGGGUUACUAUCAUCUUAAUAGUACAUUAUUUCGUUCAAAAGCUAAAAACUUAAUAGUACUAAUGAUUUGACGCUAUUAAUAGUAUUCUAGUCUAGUUCCAUAUAUAAUGGCAAAUAUUUUUGGAGGCCCCAUGAGCAAAUUAAUGGUGUGUAUUCAAAGAUCUG